rnacentral:rRNA from 1 species
GUGGGGAAUCUUGCGCAAUGGGCGAAAGCCUGACGCAGCCAUGCCGCGUGGAUGAUGAAGGUCUUAGGAUUGUAAAAUCCUUUCACCGGUGAAGAUAAUGACUGUAGCCGGAGAAGAAGCCCCGGCUAACUUCGUGUCAGCAGCCGCGGUAAUACGAAGGGGGCUAGCGUUGCUCGGAAUUACUGGGCGUAAAGGGAGCGUAGGCGGACAUUUAAGUCAGGGGUGAAAUCCCGAGGCUCAACCUCGGAACUGCCUUUGAUACUGGGUGUCUUGAGUGUGAGAGAGGUGAGUGGAACUCCGAGUGUAGAGGUGAAAUUCGUAGAUAUUCGGAAGAACACCAGUGGCGAAGGCGACUCACUGGCUCAUUACUGACGCUGAGGCUCGAAGGCCAUGGGAGCGAAAGGGAUUAGAAACCCGGGUAGUCC